rfam:Metarhizium majus ARSEF 297 Scaffold_95, whole genome shotgun sequence.
GUCCGAAUGGUGAAAUUGGCAAACACAACAAACUUAAGCUUUGUAGACUUCUAGUCUUGAAGGUUCAAGUCCUUCUUCGGAUA